GUAGGGAAUCUUCCGCAAUGGGCGAAAGCCUGACGGAGCAACGCCGCGUGAGUGAUGAAGGUCUUCGGAUCGUAAAACUCUGUUAUUAGGGAAGAACAAAUGUGUAAGUAACUAUGCACGUCUUGACGGUACCUAAUCAGAAAGCCACGGCUAACUACGUGCCAGCAGCCGCGGUAAUACGCAGGUGGCAAGCGUUAUCCGGAAUUAUUGGGCGUAAAGCGCGCGUAGGCGGUUUUUUAAGUCUGAUGUGAAAGCCCACGGCUCAACCGUGGAGGGUCAUUGGAAACUGGAAAACUUGAGUGCAGAAGAGGAAAGUGGAAUUCCAUGUGUAGCGGUGAAAUGCGCAGAGAUAUGGAGGAACACCAGUGGCGAAGGCGACUUUCUGGUCUGUAACUGACGCUGAUGUGCGAAAGCGUGGGGAUCAAACAGGAUUAGAUACCCUGGUAGUCCACGCCGUAAACGAUGAGUGCUAAGUGUUAGGGGGUUUCCGCCCCUUAGUGCUGCAGCUAACGCAUUAAGCACUCCGCCUGGGGAGUACGACCGCAAGGUUGAAACUCAAAGGAAUUGACGGGGACCCGCACAAGCGAUGGAGCAUGUGGUUUAAUUCGAAGCAACGCGAAGAACCUUACCAAAUCUUGACAUCCUCUGACCCCUCUAGAGAUAGAGUUUUCCCCUUCGGGGGACAGAGUGACAGGUGGUGCAUGGUUGUCGUCAGCUCGUGUCGUGAGAUGUUGGGUUAAGUCCCGCAACGAGCGCAACCCUUAAGCUUAGUUGCCAUCAUUAAGUUGGGCACUCUAGGUUGACUGCCGGUGACAAACCGGAGGAAGGUGGGGAUGACGUCGAAUCAUCAUGCCCCUUAUGAUUUGGGCUACACACGUGCUACAAUGGACAAUACAAAGGGCAGCGAAACCGCGAGGUCAAGCAAAUCCCAUAAAGUUGUUCUCAGUUCGGAUUGUAGUCUGCAACUCGACUAUAUGAAGCUGGAAUCGCUAGUAAUCGUAGAUCAGCAUGCUACGGUGAAUACGUUCCCGGGCCUUGUACACACCGCC
rnacentral:rRNA from 1 species